GCGCCCAUAGCUCAGCUGGAUAGAGCGCUUGUCUUCGGAACAAGAGGCCGAAAGUUCGAAUCUUUCUGGGCGCA
rnacentral:tRNA from 1 species